AACGCGAAGAACCUUACCAGGUCUUGACAUCCUCGGAAUUUGGCAGAGAUGCCUUAGUGCCUUCGGGAGCCGAGUGACAGGUGCUGCAUGGCCGUCGUCAGCUCGUGUCGUGAGAUGUUGGGUUAAGUCCCGUAACGAGCGCAACCCUUGUCCUUAGUUGCCAGCACGUAAUGGUGGGAACUCUAGGGAGACUGCCGGUGACAAACCGGAGGAAGGCGGGGACGACGUCAAGUCAUCAUGGCCCUUACGAGUAGGGCUACACACGUGCUACAAUGGCAAGUACAGAGGGCCGCGAAGCCGCGAGGUGGAGCUAAUCUCACAAAGCUUGUCGUAGUCCGGAUUGGAGUCUGCAACUCGACUCCAUGAAGUCGGAAUCGCUAGUAAUCGCAAAUCAGAAUGUUGCGGUGAAUACGUUCCCGGGGUCUGUACACACCG
rnacentral:rRNA from 1 species